GAUAUUGGGUAGGGGAGCGUUCUGUAAGCCGUUGAAGGUGAAUCGUAAGGUUUGCUGGAGGUAUCAGAAGUGCGAAUGCUGACAUGAGUAACGACAAAGGGGGUGAAAAACCUCCUCGCCGGAAGACCAAGGGUUCCUGUCCAACGUUAAUCGGGGCAGGGUGAGUCGACCCCUAAGGUGAGGCCGAAAGGCGUAAUCGAUGGGAAACGGGUUAAUAUUCCCGUACUUCUGACUAUUGCGAUGGGGGGACGGAGAAGGCUAGGUGGGCCAGGCGACGGUUGUCCUGGUUCAAGUGCGUAGGCUUGAGAGUUAGGUAAAUCCGGCUCUCUCUAAGGCUGAGACACGACGUCGAGCUACUACGGUAGUGAAGUCAUUGAUGCCAUGCUUCCAGGAAAAGCCUCUAAGCUUCAGAUAGUCAGGAAUCGUACCCCAAACCGACACAGGUGGUCGGGUAGAGAAUACCAAGGCGCUUGAGAGAACUCGGGUGAAGGAACUAGGCAAAAUGGUACCGUAACUUCGGGAGAAGGUACGCUCUUGAUGGUGAAGUCCCUCGCGGAUGGAGCUGACGAGAGUCGCAGAUACCAGGUGGCUGCAACUGUUUAUUAAAAACACAGCACUGUGCAAAAUCGCAAGAUGACGUAUACGGUGUGACGCCUGCCCGGUGCCGGAAGGUUAAUUGAUGGGGUUAGCGCAAGCGAAGCUCUUGAUCGAAGCCCCGGUAAACGGCGGCCGUAACUAUAACGGUCCUAAGGUAGCGAAAUUCCUUGUCGGGUAAGUUCCGACCUGCACGAAUGGCGUAAUGAUGGCCACGCUGUCUCCACCCGAGACUCAGUGAAAUUGAAAUCGCUGUGAAGAUGCAGUGUACCCGCGGCUAGACGGAAAGACCCCGUGAACCUUUACUACAGCUUGGCACUGAACAUUGAACCUACAUGUGUAGGAUAGGUGGGAGGCUAUGAAGACGUGACGCCAGUUGCGUUGGAGCCGUCCUUGAAAUACCACCCUUGUAUGUUUGAUGUUCUAACUUAGACCCAUUAUCUGGGUUGAGGACAGUGCCUGGUGGGUAGUUUGACUGGGGCGGUCUCCUCCCAAAGAGUAACGGAGGAGCACGAAGGUGGGCUAAUCACGGUUGGACAUCGUGAGGUUAGUGCAAUGGCAUAAGCCCGCUUAACUGCGAGAAUGACGGUUCGAGCAGGUGCGAAAGCAGGUCAUAGUGAUCCGGUGGUUCUGUAUGGAAGGGCCAUCGCUCAACGGAUAAAAGGUACUCCGGGGAUAACAGGCUGAUACCGCCCAAGAGUUCAUAUCGACGGCGGUGUUUGGCACCUCGAUGUCGGCUCAUCACAUCCUGGGGCUGAAGUCGGUCCCAAGGGUAUGGCUGUUCGCCAUUUAAAGUGGUACGCGAGCUGGGUUUAGAACGUCGUGAGACAGUUCGGUCCCUAUCUGCCGUGGGCGUUGGAAGAUUGAAGGGGGCUGCUCCUAGUACGAGAGGACCGGAGUGGACGAACCUCUGGUGUUCGGGUUGUGUCGCCAGACGCAUUGCCCGGUAGCUAAGUUCGGAAUUGAUAAGCGCUGAAAGCAUCUAAGCGCGAAGCGAGCCCUGAGAUGAGUCUUCCCUGACAGUUUAACUGUCCUAAAGGGUUGUUCGAGACUAGAACGUUGAUAGGCAGGGUGUGUAAGCGUUGUGAGGCGUUGAGCUAACCUGUACUAAUUGCCCGUGAGGCUUAACCAU
rnacentral:rRNA from 1 species